UUACUCUAGUUUCUUUGCAUCACACAUAAAUCUUUUGCCUUUCAUUAAAGAUUUCCGUGCAGAGGAACAUUCUUUGUGUUUAAACUCAAUUUUUCUCAGCCCCUGAAGAAUUUAAGGGUCU